GAUGAACGCUAGCGACAGGCUUAACGCAUGCAAGUCGAACGAAGCAAUUGAAGAGUUUACUUGGAGAUUGACUGAGUGGCGGACGGGUGAGUAACGCGUGAACAAUCUACCUAUCAGAGGGGGACAACACUUAGAAAUAGGUGCUAAUACCGCAUGAGACCACAGCACCGCAUGGUGCAGGGGUAAAACUCCGGGGGUAUGAGAUGGACCCGCGUCUGAUUAGGUAGUUGGUGGGGUAACGGCCUACCAAGCCGACGAUCAGUAGCCGACCUGAGAGGGUGACCGGCCACAUUGGGACUGAGACACGGCCCAAACUCCUACGGGAGGCAGCAGUGGGGAAUAUUGCACAAUGGGGGAAACCCUGAUGCAGCGACGCCGCGUGAGUGAUGAAGUAUUUCGGUAUGUAAAGCUCUAUCAGCAGGGAAGAAAAUGACGGUACCUGACUAAGAAGCACCGGCUAACUCCGUGCCAGCCGCCGCGGUAA
rnacentral:rRNA from 1 species